AGCGUUCUGUAAGCCUGUGAAGGUGUACUGUGAGGUAUGCUGGAGGUAUCAGAAGUGCGAAUGCUGACAUAAGUAACGAUAAAGCGGGUGAAAAGCCCGCUCGCCGGAAGACCAAGGGUUCCUGUCCAACGUUAAUCGGGGCAGGGUGAGUCGACCCCUAAGGCGAGGCCGAAAGGCGUAGUCGAUGGGAAACAGGUUAAUAUUCCUGUACUUGGUGUUACUGCGAAGGGGGGACGGAGAAGGCUAUGUUGGCCGGGCGACGGUUGUCCCGGUUUAAGCGUGUAGGCUGGUUUUCCAGGCAAAUCCGGAAAAUCAAGGCUGAGGCGUGAUGACGAGGCACUACGGUGCUGAAGCAACAAAUGCCCUGCUUCCAGGAAAAGCCUCUAAGCAUCAGGUAACAUCAAAUCGUACCCCAAACCGACACAGGUGGUCAGGUAGAGAAUACCAAGGCGCUUGAGAGAACUCGGGUGAAGGAACUAGGCAAAAUGGUGCCGUAACUUCGGGAGAAGGCACGCUGAUAUGUAGGUGAAGUCCCUCGCGGAUGGAGCUGAAAUCAGUCGAAGAUAC
rnacentral:rRNA from 1 species